rnacentral:sRNA from 1 species
GGUUUGUUUACAAACCGCAUACAAUAAUACGAUGUUUUGUGCAACGCACAAAACUCGAUAGAUAAACAGUGAGGUUGAAUUUCUGCCGAACUGUUUAUCAUAU